UAUUCCCUCCCCCUCUGUUUCUCUCUCCCGACCUCCCCUUCUCUCUGUCUCUUCACCUUCGCCGUCAACCUUCCCUUCUCUCUCUCUCAACCUCCCUCUCUCUCUGUCUCUUCACCUUCGCCGUCGCACCUCCAGCAACCGUCGGAUCCGUCUCGCCUCCGCCGCUCUCUUUCUCCCACGACUGGGAUUCAUCGUCUGGUUUUGCAAAUCAGCAAAUCGCUUCACCAGAAUCCAACAACUAAAGUUGAUUUUUUUAGGGGAGAGAGCGGGCAAGAAACUACCAUUUCUAGAGAGAGACUGAGAGAGGGAGAGGAAGAUGUUGGAGUCCUGUUACAGGCCACUGGAGCGGUGCUUCGGUUGUGAUGGCGGCGGCGGCAGAGGCGGCAGGCUUCUGUGGGACAUGGGCUUGAAGCCCCACGCUUCCGGAGACUACUCGAUUGCGGUGGUUCAAGCGAAUUCUGCGUUGGAAGACCAAGGCCAGGUUUUUAAGUCGCCUUCCGCCACCUUCGUUGGCGUCUACGACGGCCACGGAAGCCCCGAAGUCUCUCGCUUCAUCACCCAUCACCUCUUUCCUGUCGUCCACAGUACUGUUCCACAUCCCUAGUUUCAGAUUCCUCUUUUCCGUUACAUUUUUGUGUGGAUUUGUGUUUCGGUGCUUGUUCGUUCUAUACUUUCUCGGUAGCGAAACACAUUGCUGCUCUCUUCAGUAUGAUUGUUGCAAAAUUGGUUAAUUGUUCAUUCAUUUUCAGUUAGGUUGGAAGAUAAGAAGAAAUUGAAUUUAUGAACUUUGUUAGAAGAAACAAGGGCAGCUACUUAUGGGGAUAAUUAAUGGUAAUUCCUAAUCAAAAUUAGACAAUCUAAAUCCCUAAUUUGCUUCCCAUAAUUUGCUUUGGAAGGAGGAGGGAUUGUCUGCGGAGGUGAUAAAGAGGGCAUUUGAUGCCACUGAAGAUGAGUUUAUUCGCUUGGUGAAGCGGUCAUGGAUGGCUCGGCCACAAACAUCCUUUGGAUGCUUUUAAUUUUCCAUUGUAUAGAGUAUUCUUUUAUUGUUGCAACUGCAAUAUACUACAGCCUUGACUCCAGUUUUCACAUUUUAUGGAUUGAAAACAAGUGUGAGCAACCUGGAGGACCAUGGACCAUUGAUAAUACCCUUGAUUGACCUGAGGUUCUAGAGCCAUGCAGUCUUGGCAUUGCAGGAGGCAACAGAGACAUACCUUGUUGGGUUGUUUGAAGAUACCAAUCUCUAUACAAUUCAUGCAAAGCAUCACCAUUAUGCCUAAAGACGUUCAGCUUGCAAGGAGAAUUAGGGGGGAGGGGGGGUGGGCUUAGUAGCGUGUAGGUGGUGAGGCUAUGUGAGGCAAAGUUAAUUGUUCUUAUUGAUGCUAAUGGGAACCUUUCUAGCUGUGUUUUCUUUGUUAAAACCAUAUAGUUAUGUUGUCCUUCCCUGUGGAAACUAAAAGUUUGGUGCAAUGGUUUUGGAUUGUGUACACAGGAUUAUAUACCUUGAUACAGUCUUGCUUUUUUGGUGUUAAUGUCUUAU